rnacentral:rRNA from 2 species
UACGGAGGAUGCAAGCGUUAUCCGGAAUUAUUGGGCGUAAAGCGUCCGCAGGUGGUCACUCAAGUCUGCUGUCAAAUACUAGAGCUUAACUCUGGAAAGGCAGUGGAAACUGAGAAACUAGAGUCCGGUAGGGGUAGCGGGAAUUCCCAGUGUAGCGGUGAAAUGCGUAGAUAUUGGGAAGAACAUCGGUGGCGAAAGCGCGCUACUGGGCCGGAACUGACACUCAGGGACGAAAGCUAGGGGAGCGAAAGGG